AUGUGCCUCGGCCUCCUGUGCUGUGUGGCUCUUUUAUUCUGGGGAGCAGGCUCCAUGGACAUUGAGGUCACCCAGAGUCCCAGCCAUCUGGUCAAAGGAAAAGACCAGAGAGCAAAAAUGUACUGUGUCCCCAAAAAAGGACACUCUUAUGUUUACUGGUAUCGCAGGAAGCUGGAAGAAGCAUUCGAGUUCUUGGUUUACUUACAGGAUGAAAAAAUUAUAGAAGAUACAGACAUGUUCAAACAGAGAUUUUCAGCUGAGUGCCCCCAAACCUCACCCUGCAGCCUGGGAAUCAAGUCCACCAAGGCAUCAGACUCAGCUCUGUAUUUCUGUGCCAGCAGCCAGUCCACAGUGCUGCACGUCAGCUCUUCUUAG